rnacentral:rRNA from 1 species
UCAUUACAGAGUUGCAAAACUCCCCAAACCAUUGUGAACCUUACCUUCAAACGUUGCUUCGGCGGGCGGGCCACAGCGCCCCCCGGGCCCCCCCAGCGGGGGCGCCCGCCGGAGGAUACCCAAACUCUUUGAUACUUUAUGGCCUCUCUGAGUCUUCUGUACUGAAUAAGUCAAAACUUUCAACAACGGAUCUCUUGGUUCUGGCAUCGAUGAAGAACGCAGCGAAAUGCGAUAAGUAAUGUGAAUUGCAGAAUUCAGUGAAUCAUCGAAUCUUUGAACGCACAUUGCGCCCGCCAGUAUUCUGGCGGGCAUGCCUGUUCGAGCGUCAUUUCAACCAUCAAGCCCCCGGGCUUGUGUUGGGGACCUGCGGCUGCCCGCAGGCCCUGAAAACCAGUGGCGGGCUCGCUGUCACACCGAGCGUAGUAGCAUCAUCUCGCUCAGGGCGUGCUGCGGGUUCCGGCCGUUAAAAGCCUCCAAUAACCCAAGGUUGACCUCGGAUCAGGUAGGAAGACCCGCUGAACUUAAGCAUAUCAAUAAGAGACAAGAA